ACUCACCAAGCAGGUUUGGCUGCCCAGACCCCACCUGCAAGUCACACAUUAUCCAAUAUUGGCAAGUACGUUCAAAGUGGGUAGGCACCAAUCACUCCAGGCUGUAUUCAGUACUACAGUGGUACCUCAGGUUACAGACGCUUCAGGUUACAUACGCUUCAGGUUACAGACUCUGCUAACCCAGAAAUAGUCCUUCAGGUUAAGAACUUUGCUUCAGGCAGCAGCAGGAGGCCCCAUUAGCUAAAGUGGUGCUUCAGGUUAAGAACAGUUUCAGGUUAAGUACGGACCUCCGGAACGAAUUAAGUACUUAAUCUGAGGUACCACUGUAGUGCUUCUCAGAGUAGGCCCAUUGCAAUUAAUAAGACAUGACUGAAUUCUUAGCAUUAGCUAUAGCCCUCUAUCCUGACCACUCUGAUUCUCCUUAAUACAAGCCAUGUGCCUAACGAGCAUGUCACAGCCAGCUGAGGAACAGCAGCCAUUUCCCCCUCAGCAGGUCAAUGAGGUAAUUUUAAACUCUGGACUUAAUGGUCUGAUUGAGGAUGGGGUCUCUUCAGAUAUGUGUAUUAUUCACAGACUUUGGACCCUUUCAUCCAUACUUUUUAUCACACAUUCAUGAUUUGUGCUCCUCGUGCUAUCCAGGUGCUCAUACAUAAUCUCAUUUUCAAUGCUACUUAUGCCUGCAAAAAAUUUGGGGUGGUCACACUGCUUCAUUUCCAAUCAGUGCAAGUCCCGUAUCUUUCUGCUAAAACCUUGUGGCUUUUUAUACCACAAAUAUGGUUUAUUUUUGCCACGCUUUUCUUGCACGAAAGCUCAUCUGGACAGUAAUUAUAUGGUAGGACUGGGUAAGUGUUGCAGAACUAAUAACGCAGAAUAAAUUCACCACUGAUCCAUUACUAUUGUGUCACCAACAUGUAGCAGAAUGCACCCACAAUGAAGCAACAGUCUGGAAGGGCCUUUCAUGAUAAGUAGGCCCUGUUGUGUUUGGGGGCCCUCAUUCUGCUAUGGGGCUCUAGACUUCUCUCCCCCGCCCCCCUGCCACCUUUCUCUGACUCCACCACAGUUAUUUGUUCAAUACAUCUGGGGCCCCAUCUAUCUUUCCACUUGACCUUCUAUAUAAUGCCCCCUCCACUCAACCAGUGGAAGUAAAGUGUCAGAUCAGAAGCUGCAAAUUUACUUCAAGUGAUGUAUUCAGGUCUGGAGCAGUGUGCAAGAGCCCUAAUACAGUGGUACCUCAGGUUACAGACUCCACUAACCCAGAAAUAGUACCUCAGGUUAAGAACUUUUCCUCAGGAUGAGAACGGAAAUCGCACGGUGGCAGCGUGAGACCCCAUUAGCUAAAGUGGUACCUUAGGUUAAGAACAGUUUCAGGUUAAGAAUGGACCUCCAGAAUGAAUUAAGUUCUUAACCAGAGGUACCACUGUAUUAGUAUCAUUUCUUCAUAUAUAUUUAGAAUAUCUAGUGAAUAACAUAAAUUCACCGCCAAUCCUAAAUACAUUUGGAGGGUCCAUAAUUUCUGCUUGAGUGCCAUAAACACUUCCCACAGUCCAUAUUGUGUUUCCCCUCUCUUUUCUAGUUGUUGACAGAAUAGGUGGAGCACAUGUGACUUGCCUCCUGCUUAGUUCCAAGAUUCUGUUUGCUUCCUUUGCUGAGAAACUUGAAAAUGAAUUCCCUUGUCAUGUACAUGUUUACAGUAUUAUUCUGUCCUGUUUCUUUCUCAGACCAUUUAUUCUCUCUCAAUAUUUUAGUUAGUUCUAGCCACAAGGGCUGGCCCAUCUGUGAGGGAAGGUGAGGUAACCUCCUCAGGUAGCAGAUUCCGUUGUAGAACUUCAUUCACCCUUUAUUCCCUGGCAGGGAAGGGGGCACCAUUUUGUAUUGGGCUGGCCCUGCUUUUUGUUCUGAGGAACUGUAGCCUUAUGAGGCUUUGCCCUCGGGUGGGAAAAAUAUUGCGCCCGGGAAAGGGAAGUGGGAGUCAACAGACACUCAAGGAAUAGUUUCGGAGAAAAGGCUUUUAUUUCUACCAUCCAUGAACUGGUAGAAGGAGCAAGUGUGAUAGUUCACAAAAGCAUGUACGAAGUUCACAGUCAUGUGCACAAACAUAUAUACCCCUUUCCAGUUCCCUCCCCCUUUCUCCUCCCUCAGGAGUCCUGCCCCAUGAGUUCCUCUGAGCAUGAACAGAAAGCUGUUUUGGGACUAUUGUGGACUCUUGGCACCCUUCCCAGGAAAGGGGAGUGAGAGUGGUUCAGCAUCUCCAACCGAAUGAGAUAAGAUUCAGUUUCUCAGGUCUGCUUUGAACAGAGCCUAUGCAUUAGCUUUUUGAAGCCUUCUCGUACAGAUAAAAAGUAACGGUUUGCCCUUGCAACAGCAGAGCAAAUGAUUUUGAAAAGUUUUGAGAAGCUUUGAGCCUGCUUUGGGGGGGGGGGGUGACUUCGGGCCUAGGUGGGGUCACCUGUCCUCACCUUCCUUCAGAACGAACUGAAGAAUUAUCAGACCAGGAGCUGCAAAUUUGCAGACACAUUUUCCUAUAUUGCACCUGCUUUGUGGUUGUACUUCAGUGUAGUUGGGACAAUGUGCUGGGAAUAGGUAUGUGAAUGGUCCUGCUUUGCAGCAGGGGCUUGGUCUUUCUGACCUCUUGGUCUCUUCUACCCCCAACACAUAACCAGGGGUGUAGCAUGUGGGAGGGGGGCGCUUCUGGAGCGAUUGCCCUGGGUGCAUUUUUUUUUUGGGGGGGGGGAGGCAUGCUGGUCAUGCUGCCCUCCUCAAGUCAGCUCUGCACCACUUUCCAAGGUCUGAGGAACUGGGAUUGAUGCAUGGCUGUUGCGUCCUCACGCCACUUACCCCAGAUUCCAGUCUUGCAAAGUGAGUUCACAGUCAGAAAUGUAUCUAGCUAGUACUCAGCAGUUAUCUCUCAUCAGUCUACCUCUGAUGAGAGAAAAUCAAUCUGCCAUGAGGUUCCCUCUCCCGGAAGUUUAAUUUAAUUGGUUUUCUCUUCCCUCCCCCCUCCCGAACAUAGCUGUGCCACACUGGGAUUUAUCUAGGCAAAGGGUGUUUUCAUAUUGCACAUGAACCCUCGGUCCACCCUUUCUCUGUUGGAGCCAAGCAGUGAUGAUUUAUAUAUGGCAUGGAAUGAAUACCUAAGGCAAUUUUCUCUUUUUCUUGUGUUUACACCUUCUGGAAACAAAGCUCAUGGGUGUGUGGAGUGUGAUUUAUGAUUGAGAGAAAAAGGGCGAUGUCACGAGUUGCCACUUCUGUGUAUGGCAAACAGCUGCCUACUAGGAAGCAGGGUAGCACAGAGGACUUGCUUACAUCUGGGUUCUCAACAAAAAAACAUCAGUUUUAGGACUGAUUUCGUUAGCUGCUUUUUUUCAUAUAAUUUGGUGAUGUUUGAAAUCACAACCUGGUGAGCUCAAGUCCAAGACUGAAUAAUAGAUCUCUCCUCCAUGAAUUUAUCUAAUCCCAUAUUAAAGCCAUCUAAGCUAGUGAUCAACACAUCUUGCCGCCUUUGAAGACUACCUCAGUGUAACAGGUUUACAUUGGCUCUGCAUUGUUAUUUUUACUGAUUUUUAUUUUAGUACUCUUGCUUGCUGAAUACUGACAAGGAAUAAUUUUUUUUUUAAAGAAUGGUAACGAAUGCUACCUGCAGAAAGAGGAGCUUGUGCAACUUGAAGCAACCUGAUUGACGCAAGGAUUGUGAUUUAGUACUUCUCCAGUGCUGUGCCAAAUAGGAACUACGUGGUUGACUUGAAUGACAUUAAGUUUAUAAGGACUUCUACACAUACUGGAGGUAAGACCAUUAAAAGGGGAAACUGAAGCGCC